GAAAUUAACCUUUGUAGAAAGUCGUCACCCCUUCUUUCGCCUUAUUCUUGUUCGUCGGGCGUUCACAGCAAUCGGUAGUCGUCGUUUCCUCUCGCCAGUUAAGUCCUGCGAGUAGAAAAUCAGCUCGGUUGAUAUUUAUUGUCAAGAGCACAAAGCUGAAUACUGUAAACGAAGAUAAUUGUGCUAUUUCAAGUGAAGAUUCAAGGCAUAACAGGAAUCUUUGAGGAGGGUAAAAUUAAGGGGAAGGAUGUCGAAGUCUUGCAAAGGUUUAGCGAUGGAACUGGUCAAGUGUCUCAGCGAAUCCGAUUGUGUAAAGGUCCAGAACCGAACUUACAAGGAAUGUGCUGGAGAGAAGAGUCCUUGCAUUCCUAGCGAAUGCGUGGGAUUAAGGGAAACAUAUUUCAAUUGUAAAAGAGGCCAGGUUGACAUGAGGGCGAGGAUUCGGGGGAACAAGGGUUAUUGAAUGAGGAAUGGAGAUUUGGGAAAGGCCUGGAGCAAUCCCAUGGGAAGAAGUUUGAAACUUUGAAUGCCUCGAAGCUUGUCUGCAAUGAAUGACCUGUAAAAAUCUUGCCCUUCUGCAUGUACUCAGUCAUGUCUUCUUCCUUUUUAAUUAUGGUGGGAGAGGGGGUCGAGUGAUUGUGUUUUCUUAUGUUUUGGGGUUCUUGCAUUAACUUUACCAUGGCUGUUCAGUACUGAAGAUUUUUACCAUUUACACAACUACAUACACUACUAGAAGAAGGAAGGUAUGAAGAAAUUGAUUUUGUUAAUGAAUCAAGUACACACCUAUAAUGUUGCAAAAUUAUACGCAAUGAUGUGGUGUAGAAAUGAAGGCAUGUAUGCAUAAAUAAGCAAAAGGAGUCAACGUUUUGGCGGUGAAUGAGAUAAGAAACUUACAAAUUUGGGCAAAUAUGGGCAAAUUCCAGAGCGUUUCCAGUGGGGGUAGAGAGAGAAAGAGUCUGGUAGAGAGAGAAAGCCAUGAAAGCGAGCGACGAAGAAGAAACGCCAAGUAGAAUUCAAACAAAGCCUGCCGCGUCUUCGUGUCAAAAAGGCUCUCUUCAUGAGGAUUCAUGUAUGUGGCUGCACUUCGAAUUAUUUCUACUGUCUGGUCUUCUCAUAGAAUAUGAAGGGGAGAGGAAAUGAAGAAAUGCUCUAACUGCUGGUAGACUGAAGGGUAUCAGCAAUGGAUUUGGAUGUUGUUCAUGAAUUUUCAUAGCUUUUGGAAGAAAGGUUAUAAAAUAGUUACUAUUAAGUUUAUGACAGGAUCUCAGGCUUAUGACUAGCAGAAUGUGUGUGGGGAGUACAUGGAUUUGAAUAUUUGAAUUCUUGGGAGCUGCAAACAGUUUCUAAUCAUCUGUGUUUAUUAAUUCCGA